UUUAUUAAAGAUUUGAUUAAGAUUGGUAUUAUGCUAUAUUAAAACUUAAUUACGAUUUGGUGAGAAUUUUAUUAGGAUUUAAUCUAAAUUUUAAUUAAGAUUUGAAUAGAAUUUAAUUUGAAAUUUGGUCUAGGAUUUGAUUAAGAUUUGAUUAGAAUUUGGUUAGGUUUUCAUUAGGAUUUGGUCUAAGAUUUGAUUGGAAUUUGAUUUAGAAUUUUAUUAGGAUUUAUUUAAGAUUUAUUUAGGAUUUUAUUAGAACUUUAUGAAGGUUAUAUUAGAAUUUGAUUAGUAUUCUUAUUUUUAAUAAUUAUUUAAUAUUUCUUUAAUAUUUCUUUAAGAUUUUUUUAUUAUAUAUAU
rnacentral:lncRNA from 1 species